AGUGAACGCUGGCGGUAGGCCUAACACAUGCAAGUCGAACGGCAGCACAGUAAGAGCUUGCUCUUACGGGUGGCGAGUGGCGGACGGGUGAGGCAUACAUCGGAAUCUACUUUUUCGUGGGGGAUAACGUAGGGAAACUUACGCUAAUACCGCAUACGACCUACGGGUGAAAGCAGGGGAUCUUCGGACCUUGCGCGAUUGAAUGAGACGAUGUCGGAUUAGCUAGUUGGCGGGGUAAAGGCCCACCAAGGCGACGAUCCGUAGCUGGUCUGAGAGGAUGAUCAGCCACACUGGAACUGAGACACGGUCCAGACUCCUACGGGAGGCAGCAGUGGGGAAUAUUGGACAAUGGGCGCAAGCCUGAUCCAGCCAUACCGCGUGGGUGAAGAAGGCCUUCGGGUUGUAAAGCCCUUUUGUUGGGAAAGAAAAGCAGCAGGUUAAUACCCCGCUGUUCUGACGGUACCCAAAGAAUAAGCACCGGCUAACUUCGUG
rnacentral:rRNA from 1 species